CCCAGGGGCUUGGACUGCAAGGGCCUUGAUGAGGAUGAGCCUUGCUGGGAGAAGACGCAGUGGUCCACCUCGACCCCCGGAGCAGUUUUCAGGUCUCAGUGCUGCCAGAGGUGUCCGCCAGCUCUCCCUUUGGAUUGGAAAAUGCACGGAACCCUGCUUGCUGGGGUCAUGGAAGUGCUUUGGCAGAGUUCUCAAGGGCCAGAGAGGAGAAGACUGCUUACCGAGCCUCUCAUAGAGCAGCAGGUGUGUCUCAGGCUGCAAUAUCUACCAGGAUCAAGCCCCAGACGGAGUCUCCUCGGCACCCAUGGUUCAAGCUGUGGGAACACUGGGUCUGCUGGUGGGAAGACUCGAGAGUGGAUGGCCCCCUGGAGUCCAGUUGCCAAGUGAGCUUAGGACAAGGCCACGGUCUGAGGCUGGGCCUGCUGCUGCUGCUCAUCUCCUCCUGAGCCCCCAACGAGCAGGGUACAGCUCUGAUGCAAGUGACCCCAGGCUCCGCGUCUUUGCAUGGGGUAGCAAGUUUGGACCUAGCAGGACGUGCUUCGAGAGAGAAGUGAUAACGAACUACAGCAACUAUUUUGUGGAAACCCAGAUGGACUCAGGAGUCUCAGACUCAAAUGUGUUUGUGAGUCAACGACGGCCCAUGAAAAUGCAGAUUCUUGGGCCUGGCACCUCCCUCUCCUCGCCCCCAACCCCGGAACUUCUGAUUCAGCAGGUCUGGGGUGGGGCCCAAGAUUCUGUAUUACUAAGAUGCUGCCAAGUGAUGCUGGCCCCAUAUCCAGGCUGAGCAGUUUAGAUCUCUGCUCCUCCAAGUACGGCUCACAGCCUCAGAGCAGCAGCAGCAGCAGCAGCAGCACAGGGGAGC
ensembl:lncRNA